UACGUAGGGGGCGAGCGUUGUCCGGAAUCAUUGGGCGUAAAGCGCGUGUAGGCGGCUCGUUAAGUCCGGUGUGAAACCUUGGGGCUCAACCCCAAGCCUGCACUGGAUACUGACGAGCUCGAGUCCGGGAGGGGAGAGCGGAAUUCCUAGUGUAGCGGUGAAAUGCGCAGAUAUUAGGAAGAACACCAGUGGCGAAGGCAGCUUACUACGGAUCGAUUGACACUGAGGCACGAAAGCGUGGGGAUCAAACAGG
rnacentral:rRNA from 1 species